GACGAACGCUGGCGGCGUGCUUAACACAUGCAAGUCGAACGGAAAGGCCCUGCUUUUGUGGGGUGCUCGAGUGGCGAACGGGUGAGUAACACGUGAGUAACCUGCCCUUGACUUUGGGAUAACUUCAGGAAACUGGGGCUAAUACCGGAUAGGAGCUCCUGCUGCAUGGUGGGGGUUGGAAAGUUUCGGCGGUUGGGGAUGGACUCGCGGCCUAUCAGCUUGUUGGUGGGGUAGUGGCUUACCAAGGCUUUGACGGGUAGCCGGCCUGCGAGGGUGACCGGCCACAUUGGGACUGAGAUACGGCCCAGACUCCUACGGGAGGCAGCAGUGGGGAAUAGUGCACAAUGGGCGGAAGCCUGAUGCAGCAACGCCGCGUGCGGGAUGACGGCCUUCGGGUUGUAAACCGCUUUCGCCUGUGACGAAGCGUGAGUGACGGUAAUGGGUAAAGAAGCACCGGCUAACUACGUG
rnacentral:rRNA from 1 species